AGGGUUCUCAGUCUGGCCUGGAAGGGCCAGUUUUUGAGUUAGGGAGUCCAGUGAGAGGGGCCUCUACUGAACUAACAGGGACUGAGUUUAUGCCUCUUCAAAGGCUCAGACACGGCCUGGUGCCUGUGAUGUCUUUGGGAUGAGGGAACUGUGCCCCCGUCUUCUCUGCCAGCAUCCAUCAAGGUCAGAGAAGGGGCCUAACCCCCUUGAAGAGAAGCAACAGGGAUGAACAGUGUGGGAGAUGGAAAAGCCACUGUGCUGAGAACCAAAGACGUGAGCUCAGGAAAUUCCUGGGACCCUAAGGCACCCACUGUCUGGGAAGCAGGUUUGGGAUCAACAUGAUGAGAACUUUAACAUGAGACUGAACUCAUUUCAGCUUGGCCCACUCUUGAAUUCUCCUUAGAUCAAAGCAGCUUAACCAAGAAUGUCAGAAAGCAAGCAUUUUCUGAAUUAACAAGAACCACCACCCCAAUCUUUCAAGAAGAAGAAGAAGAAGAAGAAGAAGAAGAAGAAGAAGAAGAAGAAGGGGAGGAGGGGGAAGGGGAGGA